GCCCGGGUGGUGAAAUUGGUAGACACAAGGGAUUUAAAAUCCCUCGUCUGAAAGGACGUGCCGGUUCAAGUCCGGCCCCGGGCACCA
rnacentral:tRNA from 7 species